rnacentral:lncRNA from 13 species
ACCUGACUGCCCUUAACCAUCACAAAAACAUCCUAUGGCAUUCUGCAUUAGCAUCGAACAGCCCCCGUGAUAUGCAACUUUUCAGGGAAGUUAGAAACCAAUAUACACAGGCAGUUAGAAAAGCCAAGGCUAGCUUUUUCAAGCAGAAAUUUGCUUCCUGCAACACAAACCCAAAAAAGUUCUGGGACACUGUAAAGUCCAUGGAGAAUAAGAACACCUCCUCCCAGCUGCCCACUGCACUGAGGAUAGGAAACACUGUCACCACUGAUAAAUCCACUAUAAUUGAGAAUUUCCAUAAGCAUUUUUCCACGGCUGGCCAUGCUUUCCACCUGGCUACACCUACCCCGGUCAACAGCACUGCACCCUCCACAGCAACUCGCCCAAGCCUUCCCCAUUUCUCCUUCUCCCAAAUCCAGUCAGCUGAUGUUCUGAAAGAGCUGCAAAAUCUGGACCCCUGCAAAUCAGCCGGGCUAGACAAUCUGGACCCUUUCUUUCUAAAAUUAUCUGCCGAAAUUGUUGCAACCCCUAUUACUAGCCUGUUCAACCUCUCUUUCGUGUCAUCUGAGAUUCCCAAAGAUUGGAAAGCAGCUGCGGUCAUCCCCCUCUUCAAAGGGGGGGACACUCUUGACCCAAACUGCUACAGAUCUAUAUCCAUCCUCCCCUGCCUUUCUAAGGUCUUCAAAAGCCAAGUCAACAAACAGAUUACCGACCAUUUCGAAUCCCACCAUAACUUCUCCGCUAUGCAAUCUGGUUUCAGAGCUGGUCAUGGGUGCACCUCAGCCACGCUCAAGGUCCUAAACGAUAUCUUAACCGUCAUCGAUAAGAAAAAAUACUGUGCAGCCGUAUUCAUUGACCUGGCCAAGGCUUUUGACUCUGUCAAUCACCACAUCCUCAUCGGCAGACUCGAUAGCCUUGGUUUCUCAAAUGAUUGCUUUGCCUGGUUCACAAACUACUUUUCUGAUAGAGUUCAGUGUGUCAAAUCGGAGGGCCUGUUGUCCGGGCCUCUGUCAGUC